UGGUCUUGUUAUAAUGUGUUUAGAUUUAUAAUUUGAAUGUGUUACAUUUUAAAUGUUUUGGUUCAAUUUUAGGUUUAUAUGAAUGGUGCUAGUUUAGAGCAUGGUAGGGAAUUUGCAUUUGUGUUUAUGGGCAUAAGUUGAUAAUGAUAAAUCUAAACACAUUAUAACAAGACCAUAAAAGACCUCAUCAUUCUACUGAAUUGCCAAGGACAAAUGAGA
rnacentral:misc_RNA from 1 species